UACGUAGGGUGCGAGCGUUAAUCGGAAUUACUGGGCGUAAAGCGUGCGCAGGCGGUUAUGUAAGACAGGUGUGAAAUCCCCGGGCUUAACCUGGGAACUGCAUUUGUGACUGCAUAGCUAGAGUACGGUAGAGGGGGAUGGAAUUCCGCGUGUAGCAGUGAAAUGCGUAGAUAUGCGGAGGAACACCGAUGCGAAGGCAAUCCCCUGGACCUGUACUGACGCUCAUGCACGAAAGCGUGGGGAGCAAACAGG
rnacentral:rRNA from 1 species